GAUGAACGCUGGCAGCAUGCUUAACACAUCAGCAAUGGAUUGGUGGCGGACGGGUGAGUAACGCGUAAAGAACUUGCCUCACGUGUCGGGACAACAUGUGGAAACGAAUACUAAUACAUAAUUCUGUGGGAGAGCUUUGCGUCCCAUUAGCUAGUUGGAGAGGUAACGGCUCACCAAGGCGAUGAUGGGUAGCCCGCCUGGGAGUGUGAUCGGCCACAAGGGGACUGGGACACGGCCCUUAGUCCUACGGGAGGAAGCAAUGGGGAAUAUUGGACAAUGGACCAAAGUCUGAUCCAGCAAUUCUGUGUGCACGAUGAAGUUUUAGGAAUGUAAAGUGCUUUCAGUUGGGAAGCGGUACCAACAGAAGAAGUGACGGCUAAAUACGUGCCAGCAGCCGCGGUAAUUC
rnacentral:rRNA from 1 species